UACGGAGGGGGCUAGCGUUGUUCGGAAUUACUGGGCGUAAAGCGCACGUAGGCGGCUUUGUAAGUUAGAGGUGAAAGCCCGGGGCUCAACUCCGGAAUUGCCUUUAAGACUGCAUCGCUGAGAAUUGUGGAGAGGUAAGUGGAAUUCCGAGUGUAGAGGUGAAAUUCGUAGAUAUUCGGAAGAACACCAGUGGCGAAGGCGACUUACUGGACACAUAUUGACGCUGAGGUGCGAAAGCGUGGGGAGCAAACAGGG
rnacentral:rRNA from 1 species